GGAACUUAAACCAAAUAGGAGAAAAUGGAACAGAAAAGUAAACUAUUUCCUCCACAUUUCAUAUGGAAAGAAGGCAGAACUCAAUACGCUUCACGGAAACAUGACACCAGAUGUGAUUCUGAAGAGCAGUGAGAUAGCUGGAGAGCUUUCGUUGUAGAAAUUAUAACUGGUACACACACAGCCCUCUAUUUAUUUGAAUUAUUAUAAUUUCUCUCUCCUCUCCCCCAGGAAUGAGGAUAAUGCUAAUUUAAAGACAGCUGAAAGGUAAUAUGUGUUCUGGAAUCGGUCUUCUUCCCUCUCCCCAGGAGUUCCCCAAUGAAGAAAAGAGUAGGGGGACACUAGGGUGGUAGCAGAAUCUGAGAACGGGCCCAAAGGUUCUGGGGGGGAUGGUCUCCCUUUCUUCUUUCAUUGCCUCUUGGAGAGAUUUCCUGUCAGUUUUUACUUUCGGUGCAGGUAGUGGAAAGAAAAGCUGCUGACCUUUUCCCCAGUUGGCCCUUAAAACACAGAAGUUGGUGGGGAGGGGGGUGUCAAACGCUGGCAGUGGUGCUGUUCCAGUGUGCCCCAGGAGGCAUGGACCCGAAGCUGCUAUUAGACUGGGGGCCAGAGCAACCAAUCAGUGAUGAACAGGGGAAGAGGGUGAGUCCAGGGCAGCCGGGGGGGGGGGGGGGGAAGGCAGCUUCUGAAAAUGUCGACAACUAGCUAGAGGACCAGAAGACCAACCCAAUUCCUCAGCAUCGCCCCAGAUUUCUCUUUGGUUGCAGAGUCCAUCCAUUCCAGAUAGGCAAUCUCUUCACUCGAUUUGGAGCUUUCUUCCAAAGUCCUGAUAAGGAACCUGAUGAGGUUUGGGGAGAGAUUUAAGGAAAGAAAGAUAUGAGCCUACAAGGAUUGCUACUGCUUUUGCAACAUUUCACACAUCAUGUGAGAUACCCACCAAGUGUACUCACAGCACGCACCAAUGUGACAAAAAUGGAAAUCUUAAACUACAACGGAACUCAAUUUAACGAGGUGAACAAGAGAUAUUACAGCAGGCUUCCUGCAGCCAGUCUUGGAGGAAGCGGGCUUCUAAAUGGGGCCUUUCUCUCUCUUGGGUCCAAAGCUUUCCAGGUUUACCAAAGUGCCAGUGCCGAGGAUGCUGGCUAAUGGAGGACUUUUACCAGCGGGUCUACUCAGAUUGUAUGUGUUGUCAACAUAUCAAAGAUCAUGAGAUGUAAUGAGAUAAUAUUCACAGCAAGUAAAAUAACCCCCAAAAUAACCAUGGUAUUAACUUUAUAGCAUUUUGAAGUUAGUUACAAAGUGCUUUCCAUAAAUUACUUCAUAAUGUAGUACUAUCACAUGACUCACUGAAAUCAAUCAGUAAGCAUUUAUUAAGUACCUUCUAUAUACCAGGCGCUACAGGUAGAGAAUACAAGACUCCAUUGCACAUGGUGUUUUUCAUUGUUAGAAAAAAAAAAAAAAGGAUUUGUUUUGGCAGAGUAAAAUGCUGCCUCAUAGCAACUCUUCCCAUAAAGUGCCUCCCAUGACUACAUCAAAAUCAUUAAAGUCUCUCAUAAGACAUAACAAUGGAGAUGAUCUUGUUUGAAGACUUUAUGAUUAAGCUCAGUACUAGAAUAAUACAAGGACUAACUGUGUGACCCUAGGCAAGUCACUUAACCCCAAUUGCUUCACAAAAAAAGAAAAAAAGAAUAAUAUAAGGAGACUUAUGUUUGCCAAAGGUGCUCAUUGCUUACACGGAGAUCCAGCAGAGUCUAAAUGGAAGUUGUUGUUCAGUCAUUUUUUCAGUUGUAUCUGAUUCUUCAUGACCCCAUUUGGGGUUUUCUUGGCAGAGAUACUGGAGUGGUUUCCCAUUUCCUUCUCCAGCUCAUUUUACAGAUGAGGAAACUGAGGUCAACUGGGUUAAGUGACUUGCCCAGGGUCGCACAGCUAGUAAGUGUCUGAGGCCAGAUUGUAACUCAGCUGUUCCUAACUCCAGACCCAGCGUUCUAUCCACUGCUCCAACUAGCUGAGGAAUGCCCUCUUGUUGGCAAUGUCCUCCAGAUGAUCUCCUUUUUGCGGCUGACCUUGUGCUGGUUACAUCAAGCCCUAGAAUAGUCAGUCAACAAACAUUUUAAAGUACCCACUAUGUGCCAUGUAUUGUGCUAAG
ensembl:lncRNA